rnacentral:rRNA from 1 species
GGAGUCUGGGCCGUGUCUCAGUCCCAAUGUGACCGUCCAACCUCUCAGUCCGGCUACUGAUCGUCGGCUUGGUGAGCCGUUGCCUCACCAACUACCUAAUCAGACGCGAGCCCAUCUCUGAGUGAUAAAUCUUUGAUAACAAAAUCAUGCGGUUCUGCUAUUUUAUGAGGUAUUACCAUCCGUUUCCAGAAGCUAUCCCUCUCUCAGAGGCAGGUUGCUCACGUGUUACUCACCCGUCCGCCACUAAGAAUUUAAUAAAUCAAAUUCUCCGUUCGACUUGCAUGUGUUAAGCGUGCCGCCAGCGUUCGUCCUCGAGCCACUGAUCAAACUACU